UACGUAGGUGGCAAGCGUUGUCCGGAAUUAUUGGGCGUAAAGCGCGCGCAGGCGGUCCUUUAAGUCUGAUGUGAAAGCCCACGGCUCAACCGUGGAGGGUCAUUGGAAACUGGGGGACUUGAGUACAGAAGAGGAAAGCGGAAUUCCACGUGUAGCGGUGAAAUGCGUAGAGAUGUGGAGGAACACCCGUGGCUAAGGCGGCUCUCUAGUACGGUACUGACGCUGAGACGCGAAAGCGUGGGGAGCGAACAGG
rnacentral:rRNA from 1 species